AGUGAACGCUGGCGGUAGGCCUAACACAUGCAAGUCGAACGGCAGCACAGUAAGAGCUUGCUCUUACGGGUGGCGAGUGGCGGACGGGUGAGGAAUACAUCGGCAUCUACUUUUUCGUGGGGGAUAACGUAGGGACACUUACGCUAAUACCGCAUACGACCUACGGGUGAAAGCAGGGGAUCUUCGGACCUUGCGCGAUUGAAUGAGCCGAUGUCGGAUUAGCUAGUUGGCGGGGUAAAGGCCCACCAAGGCGACGAUCCGUAGCUGGUCUGAGAGGAUGAUCAGCCACACUGGAACUGAGACACGGUCCAGACUCCUACGGGAGGCAGCAGUAGGGAAUAUUGGACAAUGGGCGCAAGCCUGAUCCAGCCAUACCGCGUGGGUGAAGAAGGCCUUCGGGUUGUAAAGCCCUUUUGUUGGGAAAGAAAAGCAGCAGGUUAAUACCCCGCUGUUCUGACGGUACCCAAAGAAUAAGCACCGGCUAACUUCGUG
rnacentral:rRNA from 1 species